rnacentral:rRNA from 1 species
UACGGGGGGGAGCAAGCGUUGUUCGGAUUUACUGGGCGUAAAGGGCGCGUAGGCGGCCAGCACAAGUCAGUUGUGAAAUCUCCGGGCUUAACUCGGAAAGGUCAACUGAUACUGUGCGACUAGAGUGCAGAAGGGGCAACUGGAAUUCUCGGUGUAGCGGUGAAAUGCGUAGAAUAUCGAGAGGAACACCUGCGGCGAAGGCGGGUUGCUGGGCUGACACUGACGCUGAUGCGCGAAAGCCAGGGGAGCGAACGGG